GUUAACAACAUUUAAAACUUUUCCACCGCUGCCACAUCCAUGUCAGAAAUGUGGAUUUAAACCCGACAGCCCGACAGGAAUCUAAACGCGGCCGCGGAGGAAGAAAUGCGGUGAAGCUUUAUAUCCGAAUCAUCAGUGAUGCGAUCUCCAUAUCAGCCUCAACCUCAGAGAACAGAGGCUCCAGAGUCAGGGACAGUAUUGAACUUUUGAUGGCAUGAGGAAACAAACUGGUUUCACCAAAGUUGCACGAGGGCCAGAAACUAAAUGGCUUCAUGAUUCACAAGAUAUUUACAUCAAAGGCAGUGUACAGUAGACCAUUACAUAUUUACGAUUUAGAGGACAGUGGUGUGGAGGUUGACACGACAACAGCAUCUAGUGACCACAGAAGUACCACACCAGUCAUUGUAUGACUACAAGGGCUAAGGAUACCUUAAUCCACCUGAGUGACAGAUUAUUUGCUGUUGAGACUGUUCUAAAAUAUUUGGUUUCUGCAUGCAACAAUAAAUAAGAAACAUUUGUUUGCUUGGGACAAGAUCUUUGUUAACCAGUCUAAUAGUGAUUUCCUGAC